rnacentral:misc_RNA from 1 species
GUUGACACGAAGUGAUGUUCAUCACUAAAUGAUUUUUUGUUUUUUUGUUGUUUUGUAUAACUUGGAUUUAUUGGUUAAUUAUCAGGUAAAUUUAAUUAGUAAGAAAAUCUAGCAUUAUUGAUAAACUAAUUAGAUUUGAACAUUUCAAAGGAAGUGAUGCUAUAUAGAAAUACCCUAUAACCUAAUUAUUAUUAUUAUUAUUGCUCUUCCAAAAUAACAAUAAAAUAGGGGAUUUGCAUAUCUUUCUGGUCACUGGCAAGAUAUCCACGUAAUGACAUACACUUGACAUAUGAAAUGGGGAAGUUGAAAAAAUGUUGUUUUUUU